rnacentral:rRNA from 1 species
UCCAUAGGGUGCAAGCGUUGUCCGGAAUUAUUGGGCGUCCAGAGCUCGUAGGUGGUUCGUUACGUCGGAUGUGAAACUCUGGGGCUCAACCCCAGACCUGCAUUCGAUACGGGCGAACUAGAGUGUGGUAGGGGAGACUGGAAUUCCUGGUGUAGCGGUGGAAUGCGCAGAUAUCAGGAGGAACACCAAUGGCGAAGGCAGGGCUAUGGGCCAUUACUGACACUGAGGAGCGAAAGCGUGGGGAGCGAACAGG